rnacentral:rRNA from 1 species
GACGAACGCUGGCGGCGUGCCUAACACAUGCAAGUCGAGCGGAGUCGAUCGACGGAAGCCUUCGGGCGGAAGAUGGUUGACUUAGCGGCGGAUGGGUGAGUAACGCGUGGGCAACCUGCCUCGAAGACCGGGAUAACAGCCCGAAAGGGCUGCUAAUACCGGAUGUGGUCAAGGAUCCGCAUGGAUUUUGAUUAAAGGGGAAACCCGUUUCGAGAUGGGCCCGCGUCCUAUCAGCUAGUUGGUGAGGUAAAAGCUCACCAAGGCGACGACGGGUAGCCGGCCUGAGAGGGUGACCGGCCACACUGGAACUGAGACACGGUCCAGACUCCGUACGGGGGGCAGCAGUGGGGAAUCUUCCACAAUGGGCGAAAGCCUGAUGGAGCGACGCCGCGUGAGCGAAGAAGGCCUUCGGGUUGUAAAGCUCUGUCUGGAGGGACGAAGGAAGUGACGGUACCUCCGGAGGAAGCCACGGCUAACUACGUG